UAGCUUAAAACUCAAAGGACUUGACGGUAUCCUAACCAACUAAAGGAGCCUGUUCUAUAAUCGAUGAUCCACGAUAUACCUAACCAUUUCUUGCUUUCAGCCUGUAUACCUCCGUCGUAAGCUUACCAUUUGAAUGUAUGCAGUAAUGCUUAAGGGCCACACACCAAAACGUCAGGUCAAGGUGCAGCUUAUGAAAUGGAACCAAUGGGCUACAAUCUCUAACCUAGAACAAACGAAGUACCUCAUGAAACACAGUAUGAAGGAGGAUUUAGCAGUAAAUAAG
rnacentral:rRNA from 1 species